UUGAUCCUGCCGGACCUGACUGCUAUCGGAUUGAUACUAAGCCAUGCGAGUCAUUGUAGCAAUACAAGGCAUACGGCUCAGUAACGCGUAGUCAACCUAACCUAUGGACGGGAAUAACCUCGGGAAACUGAGAAUAAUGCCCGAUAGAACAUUAUACCUGGAAUGGUUUAUGUUCCAAAUGAUUUAUCGCCGUAGGAUGGGACUGCGGCCUAUCAGUUUGUUGGUGAGGUAAUGGCCCACCAAGACUAUUACAGGUACGGGCUCUGAGAGGAGUAGCCCGGAGAUGGGUACUGAGACACGGACCCAGGCCCUAUGGGGCGCAGCAGGCGAGAAAACUUUGCAAUGUGCGAAAGCACGACAAGGUUAAUCCGAGUGAUUUCUGCUAAAGAAAUCUUUUGUUAGUCCUAGAAACACUAACGAAUAAGGGGUGGGCAAGUUCUGGUGUCAGCCGCCGCGGUAAAACCAGCACCUCAAGUGGUCAGGAUGAUUAUUGGGCCUAAAGCAUCCGUAGCCGGCUCUGUAAGUUUUCGGUUAAAUCUGUACGCUCAACGUACAGGCUGCCGGGAAUACUGCAUAGCUAGGGAGUGGGAGAAGUAGACGGUACUCGGUAGGAAGUGGUAAAAUGCUUUGAUCUAUCGAUGACCACCUGUGGCGAAGGCGGUCUACUAGAACACGUCCGACGGUGAGGGAUGAAAGCUGGGGGAGCAAACCGGAUUAGAUACCCGGGUAGUCCCAGCUGUAAACUAUGCAAACUCAGUGAUGCAUUGGCUUGUGGCCAAUGCAGUGCUGCAGGGAAGCCGUUAAGUUUGCCGCCUGGGAAGUACGUACGCAAGUAUGAAACUUAAAGGAAUUGGCGGGGGAGCACCGCAACCUGAGGAUUGUGCGGUUUAAUUGGAUUCAACGCCGGAAAACUCACCAUAGCCGACGGACAAAUGAAGGUCAGUGUAAUGAACUUACCGGAUUGUUCGAGAGGUAGUGCAUGGCCGCCGUCAGUUCGUACCGCAAGGCGUUCUGUUAAGUCAGAUAACGAACGAGACCCUCAUCUCUAUUUGCUAACUGGAUCUCCGGAUCCAGUGCACUAUAGGGAGACCGCUGGCGCUAAGUCAGAGGAAGGGGAGGGCAACGGUAGGUCAGUAUGCUCCGAAUGCUAUGGGCUACACGCGCAAUACAAAGGACAGGACAAUGGGCUGCUGCUCCGAAAGGAAUGAUAGCUAUCCCGAAACCUGUUCGUAGUUCGGAUUGAGGGCUGUAACUCGCCCUCAUGAAGCUGGAUUAGGUAGUAAUCGCGUCUCAAAAAGGCGCGGUGAAUAUGCCCCUGCUCCUUGCACUCACCGCC
rnacentral:rRNA from 1 species